rnacentral:snoRNA from 14 species
AAAACUAUACUUUAAGGGAUCAUUUCUAUAGUAUGUUACUAGAGAGGUUUCUCUGAAUGUGUAAAAAUAACGAUCUUUCUGGGUAUUAUU